CCUACGGGUGGCAGAAGUCGGGAAUAUUGCGCAAUGGAGGAAACUCUGACGCAGGGACGCCGCGUAGAGGAAGAAGGUUGUCGGAUUGUAAACGAUUGUCGGUAGGGAAGAGAAAAGACGGUAGCUAAGGAGGAAGCCCCGGCUAACUAUGUGCCAGCAGCCGCGGUAAUACAGAGGGGGCAAGCGUUAUCCGGAAUUAUGGGGGGUAAAGGGUGCGUAGAGGGAAGAACAAGUUGGUUGUGCAAUCCCUCGGCUCAACUGAGGAACUGCAACCCAAACUUUUCUCCUUGAGUGUCGGAGAGGACAGUGGAAUUCCUAGUGUAGCGGUGAAAUGCGUAGAUCUUAGGCGGAACCCCAGUGGCGAAGGCGACUUUCUGGACGUUAACUGACGUUGAGGCAC
rnacentral:rRNA from 1 species